GAUGAACGCUGGCGGCGUGCCUAAUACAUGCAAGUCGAACGAACAGACGAGGAGCUUGCUCCUCUGACGUUAUCGGCGGACGGGAGAGUAACACAUGUAUAACCUACCUAUAAGACUGGUAUAACUUCGGCAAACCGGACCUAACACCGGAUGAUAUAUUGAAUCUCAUGCUUCAAUAGUCAAAUUCGCUUUUUUUGUCACUUAUUGAUGGAUCCGCGCCGCAUUCGUUAGUUGGUAAGGAAACGGAUUACCAAGGCAACGAAGCGAAGACGACCUCAGAGGGUGAUCGACCAGACGGGAACUGAGGAACGGUCCGAACUCUGACGGGAGGCAACGGAAGGAAAUCUUACGAAAUGAGGGAAUGCCGAAUGGAGCAACGCGGCGUGAGUGAUGAGGGUCUUCGGAUCGUAAAACUUUGUUAUUAGGAAGGAACAAAUGUGUAAGUAACUGUGCACAUAUUGACGGUACCUAAUCAGAAAGCCACGGCUAACUACGUG
rnacentral:rRNA from 1 species